rnacentral:lncRNA from 1 species
CAUAUGGAAUAAAACAUCCCAUUAGUGAGGUUUUGUUUGAGUGACAAAACCUGGACCAAGGGUUCCUACUUCUAAGUUGCUGACCAGCUUCUGACCCCUGGCACAUUGGUACCAUACUCACUCUAAACUAACCCUGCAUUCACUGUUCAACUCCUAGACAUCUGGCAGGUUGUUCUUCAUUUUGGUGCAUCAGCAAAACACCUCCAUGUGACUGUUUUAAUCCAAACCCUAUCCUCAGUCAAUGGGCCAAUACUUAUAAGAACAGUUUAAAUAUUGUAAUUCCUCCAUGGUGUCUUUCGUUUCUCAGGUAUAAAAAAGAAUGCUGUUCUAGAUGCAUUGGUUCAAUGAGAUCCUCAUUUAUUUCUCUUUCAUUUCGCAGCUUCAAAAUAUGAAUCCUUUUCUCUUCCUCGCCACCCUUUGCUUGGGAAUGGCCUCAGCUGCCCCAAAACUUAAUCACUCUUUGGAUGCACAGUAAAAAGAGUGGAAGACAAAACACAACAAAACCUACAGCAAAGUUGGUGGCAUCAAAAGUGUCCAUUAGAACCCCAGAGAGACUCCAUAGCCAGGGAGGAGCUUCCAGAAGCCAGGUUUUACCAAAGCAGUAACCUAAUGACACCUGUUUGAGCACAAUAUGGAAACAACCCUGCUGUCUCUGGACAUUUGUAGCUCCCAGAAGUUCAAAGCUAUCCCUGGCCAAAGUGUCUCUUCAUUUUUUGGGCGUGGGUUUUAAACAGAAUGAGAGACCAUCACUUGUGCUUAUUUCUAGAAUGAAGAAGGACAGAGGCGAGCAGUAUGGGAGGAGAAUUUGAAAAUGAUUGAGCUGCACAAUGAGGAGCACAGCCAGGGGAAACACGGCUUCAUUCACCUUGUCGAUGAAAGGACAUGAUUACAGGGCCUGCCACCGCGCCUGGAAUUUCUGAAUCCUUCCACGAGAUGCAGCUGUCACCCGCAAUCCCAAAGGGGUGCAGCCCCACCGGCCUUCCCACCCCAGAGUUACGCAACACCAGCUGGGGCCGCGCACUGCUGUUCACCUCUCUCACGCAUCUGCCUGUGGCUGCCAUGCUGGCUCACCCCCCUCUCCACCACCUGGCACAGGAUGGGUCCAGCCUGCCGGCCACUGUGGCCCAGACACUGAGGCUGGUCCCCACAGGAACCCUGACGGCCAGCGUGUGGCUCCUCGGGAACCUGGGAGGCGAGGGGGAGGGACACUAGCA